rnacentral:RNase_P_RNA from 1 species
GUAAGCCGAAGACAGUUGCUGGUUUUAUAACUAGGGAAACUCCGCACAUCAUAUAGACUGUAAAGUUGAAAGACUUAUGCUGAGAAGUAUGACUCUGGAGCAGAAACGACACGGCCUUUGAUGGAUGACAAUGAUGCUUGACUGAUGGACAUUAAAGGAAUCGGUGAAACGGCCAAUCUACAGGAUGCAAGAACAAAUAUGCUGAUGACCUCUAAGGGAAGCAGAGUAGUUCGCUAAGAUGAAUGCUGUAUAAAACAGAAUGUGGGUUACUCUCGGCAUAC